rnacentral:ncRNA from 1 species
ACUGUCAGCUCUAGCUAAAUUUACACAUGCAAGUAUCCGCGCCCCUGUGAGGAUGCCCUACAACUUCCCCACCCGAAACAAGGAGCCGGUAUCAGGCACAGAUAAUGCUAGCCCACAACACCUUGCUUAGCCACACCCCCAAGGGAAUUCAGCAGUGAUAAACCUUAAGCUAUAAGUGAAAACUUGACUUAGUUAAAGCUAAGAGGGCCGGUAAAACUCGUGCCAGCCACCGCGGUUAUACGAGAGGCUCAAGUUGACAGACACGGCGUAAAGAGUGGUUAGGCAACCCCCUCCCUAUACACUAAAGUCGAACGGCCUCAGGGCAGUUAUACGCGCUACGAAGGCAUGAAGCUCCUCCACGAAAGUGACUUUACUCUUCCUGACUCCACGAAAGAUGAGAAACAAACUGGGAUUAGAUACCCCACUAUGCUCAUCCUUAAACUUUGAUAGUCCACUACAACCCCUAUCCGCCUGGGUAUUACGAGCUCUGGCUUAAAACCCAAAGGACUUGGCGGUGCUUUAGAUCCAUCUAGAGGAGCCUGUCCUAUGACCGAUAAUCCCCGUUAAACCUCACCCUCUCUUGCUCUUCCCGCCUAUAUACCGCCGUCGUCAGCCGACCCUGUGAAGGACAAAUAGUUUGCAAAAUUGGUAAAGCCCAAAACGCCAGGUCGAGGUGUAGCGAAUGAGAGGGGAAGAGAUGGGCUACAUUUCCUGAACUCAAGGAAAUACGGAUGCUAUACUGAAACACUAUUUUUGAAGGAGGAUUUAGCAGUAAGUAGAAAUCAGAGUGUUCUACUGAAUCUGGCCCUGAAGCGCGCACAUACCGCCCGUCACUCUCCCCUAAUUACCAUCAAACAGUAUAUAAAAACUAACACCAAUAAAGGGGAGACA